rnacentral:rRNA from 1 species
CAGUCGCCACGGGAAUACAGAGGGUGCGAGCGUUAAUCGGAUUUACUGGGCGUAAAGCGUGCGUAGGCGGCUUUUUAAGUCGGAUGUGAAAUCCCUGAGCUUAACUUAGGAAUUGCAUUCGAUACUGGGAAGCUAGAGUAUGGGAGAGGAUGGUAGAAUUCCAGGUGUAGCGGUGAAAUGCGUAGAGAUCUGGAGGAAUACCGAUGGCGAAGGCAGCCAUCUGGCCUAAUACUGACGCUGAGGUACGAAAGCAUGGGGAGCAAACAGGAUUAGAGACCCGCGUAGUCCCUGUCUCUUAUAC